rnacentral:lncRNA from 1 species
AUGGAUGCCCAAAAAUAUUCAGCUGUGAAAUUUGGAAUCUUAUUGAUUUUCAUUAUCAUUGCAUCAGAUAUGUGUACGAUAUCAGAUGCAAGAGGUCCUAUUGUCUCAUUUCGCUGUCAGCAUGAUGAAACUUGUGAAAUUCGUUAUCCAAAUCAUGGUUGCAAAUGUGUUCAAUCUUUGUGCAAUUGUCCAGGAGAUCCUCCAAAAUUAACCAACAAUGGUAACACUCUAUUACCAUCUGAGUCUACUACCUAG